rnacentral:tRNA from 1 species
GCUUGGGUGGUUCAGUCGGUUAAGCACUUGACUUCAGGUCAUGAUCUCGCCGUUUGUGGGUUCAAGCCCCGCAUCAGGCU